UACGUGGGGUGCAAGCGUUGUUCGGAAUUACUGGGCGUAAAGCGUGUGUAGGCGGCUCGCUAAGUCUGGUGUGAAAUCCCCAAGCUUAACUUGGGAACUGCAUCGGAAACUGGCGAGCUCGAGUCCGGGAGAGGGUAGCGGAAUUCCUGGUGUAGAGGUGAAAUUCGUAGAUAUCAGGAGGAACACCGGUGGCGAAGGCGGCUACCUGGACCGGUACUGACGCUGAGACACGAAAGCGUGGGGAGCAAAC
rnacentral:rRNA from 1 species